UGUUAUUGAUAUUAUUAUUAUUAGUACUGUUAUUAUUAUUUUUAUUAUUAUUGUUGUUAUUGUUUUAGUUAUGUACAUAACAGAUCUAAUGAUAAGGAAUUUGUUUUAAUUUGAGGGAAAUAAUUUCUUCAGUUAUAAAUAUUAAUCCUUGCAAAAUUAUAAUAACUAAGCUUCUUUGCUCAAUUAGUCAUUGGUUCCAAGUUUUAAGCUAGAGGUCAAAAGUUCUAAUAGAAAGAGACUCUUGCGUUGACCAAAAAAAAAAGAUUCAAUACCCAAAAACCCCUAAAAUUCAAUGGUCUACUUUGCAUUUUACCUCAUCUCUCUCUCCCUAUAACUUUAACUUGUCCCACCGCAACCCAGCAAAUAAACCACCGGAGACUGGUCGGAGCCCAAGCAUACUAGCAAAAUACAAACCCAAACUUCUAUGAAAUUCGGCCAUUAAGAUGAAACAUCCAAAACUCGUGACCAAAGAGAACAUGAAAACACCAAAUUUAACCAUAAAUCGGGUAAAAAUGGAAGAAACAAUCAAAAUCAGAUGGGAUACAAACUACCAAUACCCAUAACCAAACAUCUUCAAAACCCGAUCCAAAUGGGUGGGCCGAUUAGAAGAAAAGAAAGGGGAAAGCAAUCAUAAAUCCCAAAAUUCGGUCGUGCAAAAAGCCACCAGAAACUCAAAAUUGGUACCAGCAAAACACCAACACAACCAUAAUUUAUCAUUUUCUAAGCAAUAAUAAAUAAGUUCAUACCAAGAUUCACAGCCAUAAAAAAUUGAGCUAGAACGAAAAACAGGGAAAAUUGAGCUAGAACGAAAAGCAAAAAAACCAUGUCUCCGAUCUACCUAGUCAUCUAAUAGCUAGCAAUAUCUAGAUUAGGGGGAAAAUAGAAGAUGAAAAAAUGGGUUGCGUGAGAUCUUUCCUCUGCUUUCAUUUCUUUUGUUUUACCAUCUCCAUUAAAAAAGAGAAAGAGGGGAAGAUGAAGAUAGGGGGAUAGGGACGAGGACAAAGAAACGGGGAUGGGGAUGUGAUGGAAGGGUUCACGCGUAAGGGAAGGGAGGGGGAAUAAUAG
rnacentral:lncRNA from 1 species